UCCAGGUCUGGGGCGUGAACCUGGCAUACAAUGUAGAUAUCUGUGUUUCUUGGGCAACAGCUACAUUGUCUGCUGGGUUUCAGGCUACCUGGAAACAUGUUCU
ensembl:miRNA MIR221 microRNA 221